CGGCGACGUUGCAGACGGGACCGGGCGGAGUGUCGGAGAAGAACGAGUUCAUGUUGGCGGACGACGACAACAACAACAAUAACACCCUAUGCUGAGAGUGUCAGGGCGGCUGGAGAAGAUGGGGUGGCCAUCACUGUCCCUGCUGGAUGAUUAUCCCGAGAUACUAACAUGGACCCCAGCCGCGUGGGUAUUCACAGGUUUGACGCAGACCGCAGCGAGCACCAGCUGCAUCACUACCACUUCCUCUCACCUUCAUCUCGCUGUGCCUUGUCAAGAGGAGCAGCAGCUGGUGACGAAUGAUGAUGCUUCUUCAUAUAAGCCGCAGAGAAACGGUCCACCUUCUUUCCCUUCCUCGCCACCGUUCCCCACUUUCUUCACUCUUGUUCAGCCUCCAUGUGCUGGAGGGCAGGGAGCAGGAGCGCAGAGCCCGGCCUCUCUGCUGCUGCUGUGUGCGCGGAUCAUGUUGCAAAAGUACUAAACUAGGCACCACACAAUCAUAGAUCAGCUCCUCCCUCCCCUCCCC